rnacentral:rRNA from 1 species
AACGAACGCUGGCGGCAUGCCUAACACAUGCAAGUCGAACGAGACCUUCGGGUCUAGUGGCGCACGGGUGCGUAACGCGUGGGAACCUGCCCUUAGGUUCGGAAUAACUCCCCGAAAGGGGUGCUAAUACCGGAUAAUGUCUUCGGACCAAAGAUUUAUCGCCUUUGGAUGGGCCCGCGUUGGAUUGGCUUGUUGGUAGGGUAAAAGCCUACCAAGGCGACGAUCCGUAGCUGGUCGGAGAGGAUGAUCAGCCACACUGGGACUGAGACACGGCCCCGACUCGUACGGGAGGCAGCAGUGGGGAAUAUUGGACAAGGGGCGAAAGCCUGAUCCAGCAAGGCCGCGUGAGUGAUGAAGGCGUUAGGGUUGUAAAGCUCUUUGACCCGGGAUGAUAAUGACGGUACCGGGAGAAUAAGCUCCGGCUAACUACGUG